AUACGCUAUGUUGGACUUAGAAUA
rnacentral:siRNA from 1 species